CUUGUCUCUUCCGAUGUGACAGUUAUCUCUCCCUCCGUCUUCACUCCAAAAACUGCAUCCUCUUUCUCUUCCGCCUCUUCUUUCACGGUUUCACUUCUCUAAUCCUGGCUGCUAUAGCGGGUCAUGUUGGCGUGGUGGAGAUCCUGUUGGGUAGAGGGGACAUCGAAGCCCAGUCUGAGAGAACCCAGUCUGAGAACCAAAAACGCACCUCUCUCCCUGGCCUGCUCUGUAGGAAGACAAGAGGAAGUGAUGUCACUGAGUACUGCCCCUAUAUGUAGGACCUUCCAUCCCCAUCUGGGAAAUGGAUGCCUGAUGAAGACCUAAGGUUCCAAACGUUUUUAUAAAUAAAAUCACCUGGGAGC